GGAGCCAUAGGGAGGAAUCCCAACCCAGCCUUAGGAAAAGAAACCUGCCAUGGGAGUCUUGGAGAUUGGUGACCAUCCUAAUGACUUA
rnacentral:pre_miRNA from 1 species